UCCCUGGAGGAAUAGUGGUUAGGCCACAGUGCUCUGACCGCCAUGACCCAGGUUCUAUCCCGGGUCAGGGAG